rnacentral:tRNA from 1 species
UCCGCCGUGGUGUAAUUGGCAGCACCGCUGAUUUUGGUUCAGCUAGUUCAGGUUCGAGUCCUGGCGGCGGAG